ACCUGCGGAGGGAUCAUUGCUGG
rnacentral:rRNA from 1 species